rnacentral:rRNA from 1 species
UUAAUUGAUGACUUGUAUGAAGGAUUGGAUGAAAUAUAAACUGUCUCUUAAUUAUAUUUAGAAUUUAAUUUUUUAGUUAAAAAGUUAAAAUAAAUUAGAAAGACGAGAAGACCCUAUAGAGUUUUAUAGAAAAAAUUAAUUGAGAUUAUUUGUAAAGGUUAAAAUUAAAAUUAAUUUAUUUAUUUUGUUGGGGUGACAGAAAAAUAUGAAAAACUUUUUAUAUGUUUAAAACAUUAAUAAGUGGUUAAAUGAUCCAGUAUUAUUGAUUAUAAGAAAAAAUUACCUUAGGGAUAACAGCGUAAUUUUUUUUUUUAGUUCACAUAAAAAAAAAAGUUUGCGACCUCGAUGUUGGAUUAAGAUAAAAUUUAAAUGCAGAAG